AGAGUAUCUAUUACCGCUGGACUUACCCUUAUUGGAGGAGCCAUUCUUGAAUGAUUUCUUCAAUUUUUCGAGUACAGGACCUUCACUCUUCGAUGACACAAUAGCAACGACAACAAGCACCGUUUUACAAGAGAGCAUAUCAAGUGAAUAUUUCAGUGACAUAUUCCUGGACACACCCCAGGACUUUGGAUCAUCCUCAUCAUCGUCCAUGUGCCAAGAGGACGACUUUUUCCAAGACAUCGGAGAUUUAUUUCUUCUGGGAACCGCUAGUUGCUCUUUGAGAUGAGACCCAAGAAACGGCAAGUCCUUACCAGUUGCCGCCGUUUUGCGUGCCGAUUUCACGGCAAAUUUUGU
rnacentral:misc_RNA from 1 species